CCUACGGUGUGCAGCAGUGGGGAAUAUUGCGCAAUGGGCGAAAGCCUGACGCAGCGAAGCCGCGUGAGGGAUGAAGGUCUUCGGAUCGUAAAACUCUGUCAGCAGGGAAGAACGGUCACUGUGCUAAUCAGCAGUGAAUUGACGGUACCUGCAAAGGAAGCACCGGCUAACUCCGUGCGAGCAGCCGCGGUAAUACGGAGGGUGCGAGCGUUAAUCGGAAUUGCUGGGCGUAAAGCGCUCGUAGGCGGUAUGUCAAGUCAAGGGUGAAAUCCCCGCGCUCAACGUGGGAACUGCCUUUGAAACUGGCAAACGUGAGUGUGUGAGAGGAGAGUGGAAUUCAAGUUUCAGGAGUGAAAUCCGUAGAUAUCUGGAGGAACAUCAGUGGCGAAGGCGACUAUCUGGCACAUAACUGACGCUGGGGAGCGAAAGCGUGGGUAGCAAACAGGAUUAGAUACCCUGGUAGUC
rnacentral:rRNA from 1 species